AACGAACGCUGGCGGCAGGCCUAACACAUGCAAGUCGAGCGAGGUAGCAAUACCUAGCGGCGGACGGGUGAGUAACGCGUGGGAACGUGCCCCUUGGUACGGAAUAGCCCCGGGAAACUGGGAGUAAUACCGUAUGAGCUCUACGGAGGAAAGAUUUAUCGCCAAGGGAUCGGCCCGCGUUGGAUUAGGUAGUUGGUGGGGUAAUGGCCUACCAAGCCGACGAUCCAUAGCUGGUUUGAGAGGAUGAUCAGCCACACUGGGACUGAGACACGGCCCAGACUCCUACGGGAGGCAGCAGUGGGGAAUCUUAGACAAUGGGCGCAAGCUUGAUCUAGCCAUGCCGCGUGAGCGAUGAAGGCCUUAGGGUUGUAAAGCUCUUUCAGCUGGGAAGAUAAUGACUGUACCAGCAGAAGAAGCCCCGGCUAACUCCGUGCCAGCCGCCGCUGUAAAAC
rnacentral:rRNA from 1 species